rnacentral:lncRNA from 1 species
CAACUUGUCCCAAGUUCUUAUAGGUCUUUUUUGGAAUCUAGCCCUAUUCAUGGUGGUCUGAUCCCACCACGCAGCAGCUCCACUUUUAAAUUUUAGUGCCACUAAUUUCACUUUUUUUGAAUCUGGAAUUUCCAUGCAGUCGAAGAAUCUUUCUACUUCUGAAAUCCAAUCUAAGAAUUCCUCUAUAUGUAGCUGUCCAUUGAAUUCAGGCAGUUCCAUUCUUAAUCUAUAAUUCCCAAAUUCAUUUCUUUGAUUUCCUCCAUUGUACUCUUCGUACCUUUGUAAUGCUCCCCCUCUUGGAUAGUCUCGACGGCCCCUAUUUCUUCUUCUCUCGUACUGUAAUAAAUCUUCUUCCUCUUCUGAAAAAUCUUCCUCAGUCUGUCUAUUAAAAAGUCCUCCCUGUCUGAAAUUUUCUUGCUGCCUGAAAUUUUCCCCCUGUCGGAUCUGUUCUUCCAAGCGAUCCCUAGCUGUGGGUGGGUUUCUUCUUCUGAAAUUUAUUGUCGGUUC